rnacentral:tRNA from 1 species
UCCCUGGUGGUCCAGUGGUUAGGACUCUGUUUUCACUACUGAGGGCCCAGGUUCAAUCCCUGGUCAGGAAG